UAGGGGAGUCGGGGUUCGGCACCCCUUCCUGAGCCCAGGGUAACUCUCAGAGUGGAGGGGCA
rfam:Canis lupus familiaris chromosome 1, whole genome shotgun sequence.